rnacentral:misc_RNA from 1 species
UGAAGCAAGCGUGUGCCCGUGAUGCAGCGCCACUCGAGACGGAGGCUGCUCAAGUAUCUUCCCGGCGUGCGGGUAGAGUACGGCGGGUCAGCUGCCAAGCUGCUUGACUCGUACCUGCACCAGGAUGCCGGCGCGAAGCACGCCGUCAAUCUUCCAGUGUCGCAGCGGUACUUCUACAUGAAAAAUAGGAACAACGACGUCUCCUCGCGGAGUGCCUCCGGUGCCUCGCAGCAACAUCAGAUGAUACAGCUGCGCCUCGGUGCUGCGCAGAUGCUGAGCUCCUCACAGCACACCAGCAUCGACAAUGUCAACGAGGCGCACCCGCUCUACUACGCACAAACCUCCCCACGUGCGGCUGGGCUCACGGCGCCGCUGGUUUUGGCCCUCAAGCGGCUACGCAUUCAUCGCCUGACGGAGCUGCAAGGUGCGUUGGUGCCGCUGCUGCUCAAAGGAAAGCACGUCAUUGCGCACUCAGAGACCGGAACAGGCAAGAGUUUUGGCGUUGCGCUGGGCAUCGCCAACCGCAUCAUCCGCGACCAGCUGAACUACCGCCUCCACACCGUUGUUCUGGUGCCCACCGAGGAGCUGGCCCUGCAGUACGACAAGUGGCUGCGACACUUCGGUGGAUGCACGUCGCAGGUGGUGCAGGUCGCCAUCGACAGCAUCCCUCUCGAGGCACAGCUCGCCAAGCUGCAUAACAUUCAGCCGCACGUGCUCGUCGGGACGCCGCAGCGCGUGGCUGACAUUGUGCGCCUAAGCCCCUCCAUCCUUGGCGAAAAGCUGCGGCGCAAGGUGGACUGCGUCGUCCUGGACGAGGCGGACAUGAUCAUUCAUGCCAACGUUGCGUACGGGCGGCAGCGACUAAGCGGCGCAAACCUUGUGGACCGGCUUUUCCGCAACAGGCGAGAAGAGGUGCCAGCACAGCUUGUGGCAGCCAGCGCGACGGUCGACGGCGUCACAGCACAGACACUGAACACGUGGACACGCAACGACCGCACGGUGCGGCUGACGACAAGCUUCGUGGAGCACACGAUUCCGCCGACAAUUCAGUUCUACUUCUUUGGCGCGUCAAGGGUGUAUCCGCUGGAGCGGUGCCUCUUGCUAUCCCUUCAACUAAUCUGCACACAGCGGCCUGACACCCGCAUCUUGAUAUUUACCGAAGACGAGCGCGUCGCCGAGGUGUGCGCGCUGCUCACGUCCGCGGAGGUGGAAGGAGAGAUGCGCCGCAUCGCCCCGGGCACGCUGUCACCUACGAAGGUGUUUGCUGGGGCCCUGCACGCUCUGCCCCGAAGCAUCCCUUCGGCAGACACCAAGGAAUCUCACUACCCAGACAACCCGGUGUCGCACCGCCGCGUCCCGCUCACAACCGCAACGCAGCAGGCAGCCCCCUUCAGCGCAAUACGCGGGAGCAGCAGCGUCUACGAGGAUGUGCGUGCCCACCAGGUUAUCCGGCAGCACGGCGACGUCUACGUGAAGAAUAACAGCUCCCUCUCUCGGCUGAAUGAGGGCAAGCUGGUGGUCGGCGUGGGUAGCUUCAACAGCAGCCGAGGACUGCAUGUUAACGGUAUCACACACGUCAUUCUCUACGGCGCCUGCCCUUCGGCUGCGUGCUUCGUCCACUGCGCAGGGCGUACAGGCCGCAUGGGUGCGGAGGGCGACGUGUUGGUGCUGUACCCGCCAUCCUCUGGUCGCCAGGUGCAGCAGGUGUGCAGCUCACUGGAGAUUCCAUUUCACUCAAGUCGCAUGAGUGCCGUGGAAGACCUCCUCCGCUCUGGCGAGGCUCGCACUACCGAGUCCGUCGCUGGCGCCGUGAACGAAUCGGCGAGCGGCGCGGCGGCCGGCAGCACCUGAGGGCGCAUUCGUGCGUGGUGGCGCACAGUUUUCCAGGCUGCACUCAGAGACGUCAGUGCGUACUAUGACAAGCACAGGGGUGUUGUGUGCAUACAUGCGUGCAUCAGCGAGCGUGCCGCGUCGACGCUCCCUCGAGCCCGCAGCGCUUUAUUCCUCCCACGCUCACGACAACGCGGCCGCGCAUCUCUAGAGGCCGGGCGCAAGGCUCCGUUGGAGCGGAAGGGGCGCCGAGAAUCGAGAUAUCACUCUCUCGCCUUCUUCGUCUUUGGAUGUGAUGAGGACGAACGAGGUGGAGUUUUACGAGGAGCACUGUCACCCUACACGGCCCCCUCCCUCACCCUUCUUCGCUUGGCUAGUCUCACCUGCUGGAAUAGACCCACCCGCGGGUGGGGAUUACG